UACGUAGGGUGCAAGCGUUAAUCGGAAUUACUGGGCGUAAAGCGUGCGCAGGCGGUUUUGUAAGUCUGUUGUGAAAUCCCCGGGCUCAACCUGGGAAUGGCAAUGGAGACUGCAAGGCUAGAGUUUGGCAGAGGGGGGGUAGAAUUCCACGUGUAGCAGUGAAAUGCGUAGAUAUGUGGAGGAACACCGAUGGCGAAGGCAGCCCCCCUGGGUCAAAACUGACGCUCAUGCACGAAAGCGUGGGGGAGCAAACAGG
rnacentral:rRNA from 1 species